AUUGAACGCUGGCGGCAUGCUUUACACAUGCAAGUCGAACGGCAGCGCGGGCUUCUGCCUCCCUGCGAGUUGCGGACGGGCGGGUAAUUCACCCGAACGUGCCCAGUCGUUAGGGCUAGGCUGACGACAGCCGGCUUAAUACCGCAUACGACCUGAUUGCGAAAGCCGGGGUUCGAAAGGCAACGCGCGCUUUGCGCGGCCGUUGUCGGAUUAGCUAGUUGGUUGGGUAAAGGCUUACCAAGGCGACGAUCCGUAGCUGGUCUGAGAGGACGACCAGCCACACUGGGACUGAGACACGGUCCAGACUCCUACGGGAGGCAGCAGUGGGGAAUUUUGGGCAAUGGGGGAAACCCUGAUCCAGCCAUGCCGCGUGCGGGAUGAAGGCCUUCGGGUCGUAAAACGCUGUUGUUCGGGAAGAAAAACUGUGGGCUAAACCGCCGGGGGGAUGACGGUACCGGAAGAAUAAGCACCGGCUAACUACGUG
rnacentral:rRNA from 1 species